GUAGGAACGUCUGCAUCCACAUUGCCUUCCUCCUGAAGACCCUGCUGAAGAUGGAGGAGCCGGUACUGGUGCUAUUCCCUUGGGGCCACCUCUACCACUGGCAGAGCCCCGAUCCCUGGUCCGACUCCUUUGACCUCCCAAGUCUCAACAGAAACAUCCCUGACAUUGAGUACGAGCAGUUCAUUGCAGGGUUCAAUUGGUGAUAAUAAUAGUAACCAAAGCAAUAGCAAACCCUUACAGAACUCUGUCCUGCUGUUCCAUGAACGCUGUGUUCAUGACAACCCAAUGAGUUCGCACCACUAUGAGUUCCACUUUAAAGCAGAUGGCCUUGCCUCCUGCUUCAGAGAGAAUGACAUGUUACUGGAAAGGAUCUCGCUCACCUGCAGCAAACCUGCUCACCUCAAAUUUUAUCUGUCUCUCUCCCACCUGGACUCUAGCUGUAGUUGUUCUUAAU